ACUCCGCUCAGGACCCCCUUGUCCUACAACUUCUUGAGGAAGUAAACAAGUUGAAGGCUGAACGUCAGGUUGAAAUACCUGACUGGAACCAACCCAGGCCUGGCCCUCUUACAAGGAGGAUCCUCAACACCCCCCUUCAAGCAAAGACAAAGCAGAAGCUUGGCUUGCAACUUUAUACUGGAAAAGAGGACCCGAUUGAGCACCUU
rnacentral:lncRNA from 1 species